rnacentral:rRNA from 1 species
UAAAGCUACUAAGAGCUAAUGGAGAAUGCCUUGGUACUGACAGCCGAAGAAGGACGUGUAAAGCUGCGAUAAGCUUCGGGGAGUUGCUAAAAGACCUUGAUCCGAAGAAUUCCGAAUGGGGAAACCCUGCAAGGUUAAAACCUUGUAAUCCAUAGAUGAAUACAUAGUCUAUGAGAAGGAAAGCCUGUGAACUGAAACAUCUUAGUAACAGGACGAAAAGAAAAUAACCGAAUGAUUCCGAAAGUAGCGGCGAGCGAAAUCGGAAGAGCCUAAACAGUAUGUACGUGAUAGACUGCAAUCGUUGUGCAUAUUGGGUUGUGGGACUUACCGUAUAAUUUGCAGAUUAUACAAAGAGUUACAAAAUUAUUUAUUAGCUAAAGACAACUGGGAAGUUGCGCCAUAGCGGGUGAUAGCCCCUUAAGCGACAAUAAAUGAUCUCUUGUAAGUAUCCCGAGUAAGGCGGGGCACGUGAAACCCUGUCUGAAUCCACCGGGACCAUCCGGUAAGGCUAAAUACUAGUCAGUGACCGAUAGUGAACGAGUACAGUGAUGGAAAGGCGAAAAGAACAGUGAGAAGCUGAGUGAAAUAGACCCUGAAACCGUUAGCUUACAAUCAGUCAGAGCACUAUUAAUAGUGUGAUGGCGUGCCUGUUGAAGAAUGAGCCGGCGAGUUAUCUUAUGUUGCAAGGUUAAGGAGUUAAUAUCCGGAGCCAUAGCGAAAGCGAGUUUGAAAAGAGCGUUAAGUAACAUGCGAUAGACCCGAACCUUGGUGAUCUAACCUUGACCAGGAUGAAGCGUGGGUAACACUACGUGGAGGUCCGAACCGACUGAUGUUGAAAAAUCAGCGGAUGAGUUGAGGUUAGGGGUGAAAUGCCAAUCGAACCAAGAGCUAGCUGGUUCUCCCCGAAAUGCGUUUAGGCACAGCGUCAGAUUUAUCUUACAGGAGGUAGAGCACUGGUUUUGUGCGGGCGGCGAAAUGCUGUACCAAACAAUGUCAAACUCCGAAUGCCUGUAAUGUUAUUGUCUGGCAGUGAGGCUAUGAGUGAUAAGAUCCAUGGCCAAGAGGGAAACAGCCCAGAACGCCAGUUAAGGUCCCUAAUAUAUGCUAAGUGGUUAAGGAGGUAGAGUUGCUGAGACAACCAGGAGGUUGGCUUAGAAGCAGCCAUCCCUUGAAAGAGUGCGUAAUAGCUCACUGGUCAAGCGACUCCGCGCCGAAAAUACACCGGGACUCAAGCAUAUAACCGAAACUGCGUCAUAUAGUUUACUAUAUGGGUAGGGGAGCGUUCUGUUGUAGGAUGAAGUAAGAUCGAAAGGACUUAUGGACGAAGCAGAAGUGAGAAUGUCGGCAUAAGUAGCGAAAACAUUGGUGAGAAUCCAAUGCACCGUAAACCUAAGGUUUCCCCUGGCAGGCUCGUCCGCGGGGGGUUAGUCGGACCCUAAGCUCAGGCCGAAAGGCGUAGGCGAUGGACAUCAGGUUGAUAUUCCUGAACUAUCAGGUAAUCGUUAUCAGAUGCGGAGGGACGCAGGAGGAUAGGCACGCAGCCGAUUGGAAGAGGCUGUUUAAGCGUGUAGCUAGUUUGAGUAGGAAAAUCCGCUCAGGCGUUAUGACGUGAGGCGUAAUGAGGAGAGUCUACGGACUCGAAGGUGUUGACUCCACACUGCCAAGAAAAACUUCGCACUCGAGAUUAUCCGGUAUCCGUACCGUAAACCGCCACAGGUAGGUUAGUAGAACAUACUAAGGUGCGCGAGACAACUCUCGCUAAGGAACUCGGCAAAAUCACCUCGUAACUUCGGGAGAAGAGGUACCCUGGUAGAGUGAAGCGAUUUACUCGUGGAGCUUGAUAGGGUCGCAGUGAAUUGGCCCAUGCGACUGUUUACCAAAAACACAGGUCUCUGCUAAGUCGAACAAGACGAUGUAUAGGGGCUGACGCCUGCCCGGUGUCGGAAGGUUACGUGGAAGGGUUAGAGGUAACUCGAAGCUCUGAAACUAAGCCCCGAUGAACGGCGGCCGUAACUAUAACGGUCCUAAGGUAGCGAAAUUCCUUGUCAGGUA